CAACAACGGAAAAGGAGGUGGUCGAAUGUCUCAUUGUCACAUGCCGCUGAAUGCGGAUCGUCAGAGCUCGACCGGCCUCAUGGUAGGUCGCAGCUUCUAGCGGAUCUGGCCGUCAGCGGCCGGCAAUGGAAGGGCCGUUCCAGCGAGGGAGCGGCCCU
rnacentral:sRNA from 1 species